GACGCGCAGCGAGAGGUGCUUGCACCUUUCAAGCGAGUGGCGAACGGGUGAGUAACACGUGGAUAACCUGCCUCAAGGCUGGGGAUAACAUUUGGAAACAGAUGCUAAUACCGAAUAAAACUUAGUAUCGCAUGAUAUCAAGUUAAAAGGCGCUACGGCGUCACCUAGAGAUGGAUCCGCGGUGCAUUAGUUAGUUGGUGGGGUAAAGGCUUACCAAGACAAUGAUGCAUAGCCGAGUUGAGAGACUGAUCGGCCACAUUGGGACUGAGACACGGCCCAAACUCCUACGGGAGGCUGCAGUAGGGAAUCUUCCACAAUGGGCGCAAGCCUGAUGGAGCAACGCCGCGUGUGUGAUGAAGGCUUUCGGGUCGUAAAGCACUGUUGUAUGGGAAGAAAUGCUAAAAUAGGGAAUGAUUUUAGUUUGACGGUACCAUACCAGAAAGGGACGGCUAAAUACGUGCCAGCAGCCGCGGUAAUACGUAUGUCCCGAGCGUUAUCCGGAUUUAUUGGGCGUAAAGCGAGCGCAGACGGUUGAUUAAGUCUGAUGUGAAAGCCCGGAGCUCAACUCCGGAAUGGCAUUGGAAACUGGUUAACUUGAGUGUUGUAGAGGUAAGUGGAACUCCAUGUGUAGCGGUGGAAUGCGUAGAUAUAUGGAAGAACACCAGUGGCGAAGGCGGCUUACUGGACAACAACUGACGUUGAGGCUCGAAAGUGUGGGUAGCAAACAGGAUUAGAUACCCUGGUAGUCCACACCGUAAACGAUGAAUACU
rnacentral:rRNA from 1 species